CCUACGGGGGGCAGCAGUGGGGGAUAUUGCACAAUGGGGGAAACUCUGAUGCAGCGACGCCGCGUGUGGGAAGACGGUCCUCUGGAUUGUAAACUACUGUCUUCAGGGACGAAGAUGACGUAACCUGGGGAGGAAGCCCCGCUGAACCACGUGCCAGCAGCCGCGGUAAUACGUAGGGAGCGAGGGUUGUCCGGAAUUACUGGGUGUAAAGGGAGCGUAGGCGGGACUGCAAGUUGGUUGUCAAAUCUACCGGCUCAACCGGUAGCCGCACUCAAAACUGCAGUUCUUGAGUGAAGUAGAGGCAGGCGGAAUUCCUAGUGUAGCGGUGAAAUGCGUAGAUAUUAGGAGGAACACCAGUGGCGAAGGCGGCCUGCUGGGCUUUUACUGACGCUGAGGCUCGAAAGUGUGGGGAGCAAACAGGAUUAGAUACCCCAGUAGUC
rnacentral:rRNA from 1 species